rnacentral:rRNA from 1 species
GAUGAACGCUAGCUACAGGCUUAACACAUGCAAGUCGCGGGGCAGCAUGAAUUUAGCUUGCUAAAUUUGAUGGCGACCGGCGCACGGGUGAGUAACGCGUAUCCAACCUUCCCCUGUCCACGGGAUAGCCCGUCGAAAGGCGGAUUAAUACCGUAUGAGGUCACACGAUGGCAUCAGACUGUGACGAAAGGUUUGGCGGACAGGGAUGGGGAUGCGUCCGAUUAGCUUGUUGGCGGGGUAACGGCCCACCAAGGCAACGAUCGGUAGGGGUUCUGAGAGGAAGGUCCCCCCACAUUGGAACUGAGACACGGUCCAAACUCCUACGGGAGGCAGCAGUGAGGAAUAUUGGUCAAUGGGCAGAGCCUGAACCAGCCAAGUAGCGUGCAGGACGACGGCCCUAUGGGUUGUAAACUGCUUUAUAAGGGAAUAAAGUGAGUCUCGUGAGACUUUUUGCAUGUACCUUAUGAAUAAGGACCGGCUAAUUCCGUG